ACUUUAAGGCAUAAAAUCCAUUUUUAAGUAUAUUUACAAUGUUGCACAACCAUCACUCCUAUCUAAUUCCAGAAGAUUUUCAUCACCUGUAUGCAUUAAGCAAUCACUGCUCAUUCCCUCCUCCCUGAGCCCUUGGCAACCACUGAUCUCCUUUCUGUCUAUAAUAAUUUGCCUCUUCUGGACAUUUUAUAUUAAUGGAAUCCUACAGUUUUUGGUCUUUUGUGUCUGACUUCUUUCACUUUGCAUAAUGUUUUCAAUAUUCAUCCAUAUUGUAGCUUAUAUCAGUACUUCAUUUUUUAUGGCUGAAUAUUAUUCCAUUGUGUGUAUUCCACCACAAUUUGUUUAUCUAUUCAUAAACGGGUGGACAUUUGGGUUGUGAUAUAGUUUGGCUCUGUGUCCCCACCCAAAUCUCAUGUUGAAUUGAAUUCCCAAUGCUGAAGGAGGGACCUGGUAGGAGGUGACUGAAUUGCGAAGGUGGAAUUCUCCAUGCUGUUCUCAUGAUAGUGAGGGAGUUCUCACAACAUCUGAUGGUUUAACAGUAUGUGGCACAUCCCCCUCACUCUUUCUCUCUUUCUUGCCACCAUUAGAAGAAGGUACUUGCUUCCCCUUCUCCUUCUGCCAUGACUGUAAGUUUCCUGAGACCUCCCAAUCGUGCUUCCUGUUACACCUGCAGAACUGUGAGUCAAUUAAACCUCUUUUUUCAUUAAGAAGUACGAGUCUCAGGUAGUUCUUUAUAGCAGUGUGAGAAUAGACUAAUACAGGUUGCUUUCAUUUUUUGGCUAUCGUGCUAUGCUGCUAUAAUUGGUGUACAAGUUUUUGUAUGAACAUAUGGUUCCAUUAUUCUUGGGUGUAUAACCUGAAAUGCAAUUACUGAGUCAUAUGCUAACUCUAUGUUUAACUUUUUGAGGACUGGAAAACUGUCUUCCACAGUGGCUACACCAUUGCACACUCCUACUAGCAAAGUAUGAGCUCUCCAAAGACUUCAUACAUUGAAUCUACACAUUCUCUUCAACAGUUGUUAUUAUUUUUUUAUUAUAGCCAUCCUAGUGAGCAUAAUAUUAUAUAUAUCUUUGGUAUUGUUCUACUCGUGAUGAAUUCUCAAUUCUUUCUGUCUAAAAACAUGUUCAUUUCACUUUAAUGUUUAAGAGCUAUUUUUGCUAUGUCUUGAAUUCUAAUUUGGAAAUAUUUUCUUUCAGCAUCUAAAACUGCCAUUUAAUUGUCUCUGGCUUCUGUUUAAGCUGCAAAUGUAGUUGUCAGUCUCAUUGUUGCUCUUUUGAAGGAAAUGUUCCUCUUUUGUUUUAACUAGUUUUACUAAUGUUUUCUUUUUCCUUGUUUUUCAGCAGUUUUACUAUAAUGUGAAUUGACUUUUUGCAGGUGGAAUUUUAAAAUAAUCCCCCAAUGACCCUCACCCCUUUGUAAUCAUCUCUUCUUCAGUGUUGGUGGGACCUACGUAUAGGAUAAGACAGUGCUCCUGAGAUCAUGCUAUGUUGUGUAUAAAGGGAUUCCGCAGAUGUAGUCGGGGCCCCAGGUUAGUCAGCAUUGAGUUAAUCAAUGGUUAGAUUAUCCCACUUGGGUCUUUUAAAGACAUCAGAUGAUGUCUUUAAAAGCAGAGAGGUUUCCCAGAAGCCAUGCUGUGAACUACUUAUAGGUUCAAGUGGCCCGUAGCAACUUAGAGUGAUCUUUCAACAGUCGCUGGAAAAAAAAUGGGACCUCAGUCACAAAACCAUGUGGGAUUCAAUUCUGUCUGCAAUUCUGAAAGAACUGAAAUGAGGUCCCCAUGCUACAGAUGAGAACCACAGCCCUGGAAGACGCCUGGAUUGCAGCCUUGUGAAAACCGAGCAAAAGACCCAACUGAGCCCUGCCUGGCUUUCAGUUCUACAGAGCUGUGAGAUGAUACGUGCAUGAAGUUUUAUGCCUCUAAGUUUGUGGCAAUAGAAAACCAGUACUUGCAUUGCAUUUUCAAAAUUGUGUUUGCUGCUUUUAAACCUUGCAGAGAG
rnacentral:lncRNA from 1 species